UCAUAACAUCUGGUUAGAGAAGAAUCGGCAGCCCCAAAAGGUUCCAUAUAUUAGCAAAAAAAAUUGGCAACCUUUUCUCAAAGUGGCGGAAAUUACUUGCAAACCGUAAGAAGUCUCAAUCCUGUUACAAACUGAAGCGGCAACAGUGGCGGGAUAAUCUACCAGUGGUUUUCGAUGUCUCGCGAGGUGAAUCCAGAUUUAAAUCUUCUAAAGAAUCCCUUCCGGGGACGGAAUCCGUAACAAAUUCGAUCCAAGAUGGUGAGCUUUCGGAUGCAAAUUCUGAUUGGGAUGAUGCCACUUCUAGUGAACCAUUGCCAAAAAAGCAGAAAAUUGAACCAUGGAAGAAUGAAGCACUUACUUUGCUUGAUCGUGCAAUGGUUACUGAUACGGCGGCAUCAGCGAUUUUAACCGCUACGGCGGUUGGAUUGGGUUUCGAUACCAACUCAGUGGCUAGUAGCAGAUCUAGCUUGUACCGUCGCAGGACAAAGGUAAUUGAGUGGUUGCAUGAAAUCUCUUAUUUUCAAUUACCUAUAUGUAAAAAAACCACCAGGCACGAGUUGAGCAGAUGGAGAAUGCUCAGAAAGAAUUUAUAUUGACACGAAACGAAUGAAGAAAGGCGUUGGACUCGAGUCAGAAGAAAGGUUAGCCGUAACCAUAGGCGUCAACUUGUGACGUAGUUGGGGGGCGAAGCUCUCAAAAAUUGGACAAUAUUCAAGUUUUUUCAGCUCAAUGCACUAGUUUUCACGUGAAUAUGCCUAAAUAAGCUGAACUGCAACAGUAUUUUCCGUAUUUGAUUGGUUUUGAGAGGCCUCGCCCCCCCAACUACGUCACAAGUUGGCGCGUAUGGCCGUAACUACUUCUGGAUUUGGAACGGAACACAUUGUUGGAGUACCAGUGAUACCAACAGGCACCGGCAAAGAUAUUGCACAAGCGGUAGUGAAACUGCUGGAAGAAAAAAACAUCGAAAACAGUAUAAAAGGCAUUUGCUAUGACAUCACAGCGGCUAAUUCAGGUAUACAAAAUGGAUCCGUGGUAUUGCUGGAAAAGCUGAUAGGACGAAGUCUGUUCCAUCUACCAUGUAGACACCACAUUCUGGAGUUGAUCCUUGAGGCGGUUUUUACAAAAGUAUUCAGCGAGAAAUCCAGUGGCCCUGAAAUAACAAUUUUCAAACGUUUCCAGAAAGAAUGGCCUGGUAUCAACAAAGAUUCAUACAAAGGUGUAGAAAACUUGAUCUCACCAAAAUUGAAACCAGCAUAUCUAAAAUCGAUUGAGACUCUUCACCACAUGAAGAAGAUUCGCGCUGAUUAUCAAGAAUUUAUUGAA